AACAUCUAAGUACCCCGAGGAAAAGAAAUCAACCGAGAUUCCCCCAGUAGCGGCGAGCGAACGGGGAGCAGCCCAGAGCCUGAAUCAGUGUGUGUGUUAGUGGAAGCGUCUGGAAAGGCGCGCGAUACAGGGUGACAGCCCCGUACACAAAAAUGCACAUGCUGUGAGCUCGAUGAGUAGGGCGGGACACGUGGUAUCCUGUCUGAAUAUGGGGGGACCAUCCUCCAAGGCUAAAUACUCCUGACUGACCGAUAGUGAACCAGUACCGUGAGGGAAAGGCGAAAAGAACCCCGGCGAGGGGAGUGAAAAAGAACCUGAAACCGUGUACGUACAAGCAGUGGGAGCACGCUUAGGCGUGUGACUGCGUACCUUUUGUAUAAUGGGUCAGCGACUUAUAUUCUGUAGCAAGGUUAACCGAAUAGGGGAGCCGAAGGGAAACCGAGUCUUAACUGGGCGUUAAGUUGCAGGGUAUAGACCCGAAACCCGGUGAUCUAGCCAUGGGCAGGUUGAAGGUUGGGUAACACUAACUGGAGGACCGAACCGACUAAUGUUGAAAAAUUAGCGGAUGACUUGUGGCUGGGGGUGAAAGGCCAAUCAAACCGGGAGAUAGCUGGUUCUCCCCGAAAGCUAUUUAGGUAGCGCCUCGUGAAUUCAUCUCCGGGGGUAGAGCACUGUUUCGGCAAGGGGGUCAUCCCGACUUACCAACCCGAUGCAAACUGCGAAUACCGGAGAAUGUUAUCACGGGAGACACACGGCGGGUGCUAACGUCCGUCGUGAAGAGGGAAACAACCCAGACCGCCAGCUAAGGUCCCAAAGUCAUGGUUAAGUGGGAAACGAUGUGGGAAGGCCCAGACAGCCAGGAUGUUGGCUUAGAAGCAGCCAUCAUUUAAAGAAAGCGUAAUAGCUCACUGGUCGAGUCGGCCUGCGCGGAAGAUGUAACGGGGCUAAACCAUGCACCGAAGCUGCGGCAGCGACACUAUGUGUUGUUGGGUAGGGGAGCGUUCUGUAAGCCUGUGAAGGUGUGCUGUGAGGCAUGCUGGAGGUAUCAGAAGUGCGAAUGCUGACAUAAGUAACGAUAAAGCGGGUGAAAAGCCCGCUCGCCGGAAGACCAAGGGUUCCUGUCCAACGUUAAUCGGGGCAGGGUGAGUCGACCCCUAAGGCGAGGCCGAAAGGCGUAGUCGAUGGGAAACAGGUUAAUAUUCCUGUACUUGGUGUUACUGCGAAGGGGGGACGGAGAAGGCUAUGUUGGCCGGGCGACGGUUGUCCCGGUUUAAGCGUGUAGGCUGGUUUUCCAGGCAAAUCCGGAAAAUCAAGGCUGAGGCGUGAUGACGAGGCACUACGGUGCUGAAGCAACAAAUGCCCUGCUUCCAGGAAAAGCCUCUAAGCAUCAGGUAACAUCAAAUCGUACCCCAAACCGACACAGGUGGUCAGGUAGAGAAUACCAAGGCGCUUGAGAGAACUCGGGUGAAGGAACUAGGCAAAAUGGUGCCGUAACUUCGGGAGAA
rnacentral:rRNA from 1 species